GAUGAACGCUAGCGGCAGGCUUAACACAUGCAAGUCGAGGGGUAUAUGCUUUCGGGCAUAGAGACCGGCGCACGGGUGCGUAACGCGUAUGCAAUCUGCCUUUCACAGAGGGAUAGCCCAGAGAAAUUUGGAUUAAUACCUCAUUGCAUAGCACAAUCGCAUGAUUGAGCUAUUAAAGUCACAACGGUGAAAGAUGAGCAUGCGUCCCAUUAGCUAGUUGGUAAGGUAACGGCUUACCAAGGCUACGAUGGGUAGGGGUCCUGAGAGGGAGAUCCCCCACACUGGUACUGAGACACGGACCAGACUCCUACGGGAGGCAGCAGUGAGGAAUAUUGGUCAAUGGGCGCAAGCCUGAACCAGCCAUGCCGCGUGCAGGAUGACGGUCCUAUGGAUUGUAAACUGCUUUUGUACGGGAAGAAACACUCCUACGUGUAGGAGCUUGACGGUACCGUAAGAAUAAGGAUCGGCUAACUCCGUGCCAGCCGCCGCAGUAACAC
rnacentral:rRNA from 1 species